rnacentral:rRNA from 1 species
GAAUCUGCCCUCAGGAGGGGGAUAACGGCUGGAAACGGCCGCUAAUACCCCAUAUGCCGAGAGGUGAAAUGAAUUUCGCCUGAGGAUGAGCUCGCGUCUGAUUAGCUAGUUGGUGUGGUAAAGGCUCACCAAGGCUUCGAUCAGUAGCUGGUCUGAGAGGAUGAUCAGCCACACUGGGACUGAGACACGGCCCAGACUCCUACGGGAGGCAGCAGUGGGGAAUUUUCCGCAAUGGGCGCAAGCCUGACGGAGCAACGCCGCGUGAGGGAUGAAGGCCUCUGGGCUGUAAACCUCUUUUAUCAAGGAAGAAGAACUGACGGUACUUGAUGAAUAAGCCACGGCUAAUUCCGUGCCAGCAGCCGCGGUAAUACGGGAGUGGCAAGCGUUAUCCGGAAUUAUUGGGCGUAAAGCGUCCGCAGGCGGUUUUACAAGUCUGUCGUUAAAGCGUGGAGCUCAACUCCAUUUCAGCGAUGGAAACUGUAAGACUCGAGUGUGGUAGGGGCAGAGGGAAUUCCCGGUGUAGCGGUGAAAUGCGCAGAUAUCGGGAAGAACACCAGUGGCGAAAGCGCUCUGCUGGGCCAUAACUGACGCUCAUGGACGAAAGCCAGGGGAGCG